AAGAGCUAUGUUCUUUUCGAUGGAAAAGUUGAUCCUAUUACUGAUGAUGACGGUCGUAAUGGGGGAAGAGAAUUGCUUUCAAAAGAAAAGCAACCAACCGACCCACGUGGUUGAAACCCCCACAGUGAACGACAUCCUGUAUGACAACGUGUGUGCCUGCCUGAGGCAUCACGCUGGUACCGGCCAUACUGCAGACUUUAUGACGUGCCCUGAUGCCACCCCAUACAUCAGAAGCGUUUCGCUAAUAAAUUGCGACGGGCGCACCAUUCCAACUGGGGUCGACUGUAUGGGAGCUGGAGUUUCGUUAAUGUGAUUGGUGAUCACUGGAUAGUGGAUAUAUAAUUAUAGUGGAGAUAUAUAUAUAUAUAAUUCAAAGAAAACUGUGUCUUAGCUCUGAUACUUUCAUUUUCUUUUGGUUCUAAAUAAUGGUAAUAUACCAUCGUUGCCUUGUUCGUUAUUUAUCGAUAUAUCUAUCGAUGUAUUCAUUUCUUAUUUCAUUUAAUUAUUC